AGAUUGGAAUUCUUCAUAUGUAAAAAGAGAAGAGAAAGACAUUCUUGAUUUUGGUGACUAGAGUUGUAGAUGCUGGAAGCUUUGCCACUAACAUUGAUGAACCAGAUGCAUGUCACCAGCCCAUCACGGGCACCAUGGGCCGGCACUGCCACGUUUUCCAAGGAACCUGCCAGAGCUCCUGCGGAAGCUGCUCCUCGGGCGAUGGAGUCCCUUUGCUGCUAGGCCCUUCUUCAGUCACCACAGGAUGCCUGCCAUUCAUGAACAGGAAGGAGAGGACGGGCUUUGAAUAAAAAACAGGAUCCAGGAAAUAUUUGUGAGGCCAUUUGGACUUCAGUGUGAAAUGGUGUUAAAAGAUGAAGUCAUUUAUUCAAGAAGUAAACCUCUGCCACCUGGACUGUGCUCAGACAUUUCAUUGAUUUUGUUUAAUAAACAUUUUCUGGCUU
rnacentral:lncRNA from 1 species